GAUGAACGCUGGCGGCGUGCCUAAUACAUGCAAGUCGAGCGAAUGGAUUAAGAGCUUGCUCUUAUGAAGUUAGCGGCGGACGGGUGAGUAACACGUGGGUAACCUGCCCAUAAGACUGGGAUAACUCCGGGAAACCGGGGCUAAUACCGGAUAACAUUUUGAACCGCAUGGUUCGAAAUUGAAAGGCGGCUUCGGCUGUCACUUAUGGAUGGGCCCGGGUCGCAUUAGCUAGUUGGUGAGGUAACGGCUCACCAAGGCAACGUUGCGUAGCCGACCUGAGAGGGUGAUCGGCCACACUGGGACCGAGACACGGCCCAGACUCCUACGGGAGGCAGCAGUAGGGAAUCUUCCGCAAUGGACGAAAGUCUGACGGAGCAGCGCCGCGUGAGUGAUGAAGGCUUUCGGGUCGUAAAACUCUGUUGUUAGGGAAGAACAAGUGCUAGUUGAAUAAGCUGGCACCUUGACGGUACCUAACCAGAAAGCCACGGCUAACUACGUGCCAGCCGCCGCAGUAA
rnacentral:rRNA from 1 species